AGUGAACGCUGGCGGUAGGCCUAACACAUGCAAGUCGAACGGCAGCACAGUAAGAGCUUGCUCUUACGGGUGGCGAGUGGCGGACGGGUGAGGAAUACAUCGGAAUCUACUUUUUCGUGGGGGAUAACGUAGGGAAACUUACGCUAAUACCGCAUACGACCUACGGGUGAAAGCAGGGGAUCUUCGGACCUUGCGCGAUUGAAUGAGCCGAUGUCGGAUUAGCUAGUUGGCGGGGUAAAGGCCCACCAAGGCGACGAUCCGUAGUUGGUAUGAGAGGAUGAUCAGCCACACUGGAACUGAGACACGGUCCAGACUCCUACGGGAGGCAGCAGUGGGGAAUAUUGGACAAUGGGCGCAAGCCUGAUCCAGCCAUACCGCGUGAGUGAAGAAGGCCUUCGGGUUGUAAAGCCCUUUUGUUGGGAAAGAAAAGCAGCAGGUUAAUACCCCGCUGUUCUGACGGUACCCAAAGAAUAAGCACCGGCUAACUUCGUG
rnacentral:rRNA from 1 species